rnacentral:rRNA from 1 species
UACGUAGGGGGCAAGCGUUGUCCGGAUUUAUUGGGCGUAAAGAGCGUGUAGGCGGCUGGGUAGGUCCGUUGUGAAAACUCGAGGCUCAACCUCGAGACGCCGAUGGAAACCCCCCGGCUAGAGUCCGGAAGAGGAGAGUGGAAUUCCUGGUGUAGCGGUGAAAUGCGCAGAUAUCAGGAAGAACACCCGUGGCUAAGGCGGCUCUCUAGUACGGUACUGACGCUGAGACGCGAAAGCGGGGGGAGCGAACAGG